GAUGAACGCUGGCGGCGUGCCUAAUACAUGCAAGUCGAGCGAACGGACGAGAAGCUUUCUUCUCUGAUGUUAGCGGCGGACGGGUGAGUAACACGUGGAUAACCUACCUAUAAGACUGGGAUAACUUCGGGAAACCGGAGCUAAUACCGGAUAAUAUUUUGAACCGCAUGGUUCAAAAGUGAAAGACGGUCUUGCUGUCACUUAUAGAUGGAUCCGCGCUGCAUUAGCUAGUUGGUAAGGUAACGGCUUACCAAGGCAACGAUGCAUAGCCGACCUGAGAGGGUGAACGGCCACCCGGGAACUGAGACACGGUACAGACUCCUACGGGAGGCAGCAGUAGGGAAUCUUCCGCAAUGGGCGAAAGCCUGACGGAGCAACGCCGCGUGAGUGAUGAAGGUCUUCGGAUCGUAAAACUAUGUUAUUAGGGAAGAACAUAUGUGUAAGUAACUGUGCACAUCUUGACGGUACCUAAUCAGAAAGCCACGGCUAACUACGUG
rnacentral:rRNA from 1 species